rnacentral:rRNA from 1 species
GAUGAACGCUGGCGGCGUGCCUAAUACAUGCAAGUCGAGCGAACGGACGAGAAGCUUGCUUCUCUGAUGUUAGCGGCGGACGGGUGAGUAACACGUGGAUAACCUACCUAUAAGACUGGGAUAACUUCGGGAAACCGGAGCUAAUACCGGAUGAUAUUUUGAACCGCAUGGUUCAAAAGUGAAAGACGGUCUUGCUGUCACUUAUAGAUGGAUCCGCGCUGCAUUAGCUAGUUGGUAAGGUAACGGCUUACCAAGGCAACGAUGCAUAGCCGACCUGAGAGGGUGAUCGGCCACACUGGAACUGAGACACGGUCCAGACUCCUACGGGAGGCAGCAGUAGGGAAUCUUCCGCAAUGGGCGAAAGCCUGACGGAGCAACGCCGCGUGAGUGAUGAAGGUCUUCGGAUCGUAAAACUCUGUUAUUAGGGAAGAACAUAUGUGUAAGUAACUGUGCACAUCUUGACGGUACCUAAUCAGAAAGCCACGGCUAACUACGUGCCAGCAGCCGCGGUAAUACGUAGGUGGCAAGCGUUAUCCGGAAUUAUUGGGCGUAAAGCGCGCGUAGGCGGUUUUUUAAGUCUGAUGUGAAAGCCCACGGCUCAACCGUGGAGGGUCAUUGGAAACUGGAAAACUUGAGUGCAGAAGAGGAAAGUGGAAUUCCAUGUGUAGCGGUGAAAUGCGCAGAGAUAUGGAGGAACACCAGUGGCGAAGGCGACUUUCUGGUCUGUAACUGACGCUGAUGUGCGAAAGCGUGGGGAUCAAACAGGAUUAGAUACCCUGGUAGUCCACGCCGUAAACGAUGAGUGCUAAGUGUUAGGGGGUUUCCGCCCCUUAGUGCUGCAGCUAACGCAUUAAGCACUCCGCCUGGGGAGUACGACCGCAAGGUUG